UGCUUUCACUUUGCUGCUGAGGAGGAGGAACAAGAAGCGUGCUGCUGAAGGAGCCUUCUCCGGGGUACCGCUGCCUGCGUCGGUCAGGUUUAGCAAAAGCCAGGUCGAGAACACAGCCUUUCUUGACGACCAAACUCCGGCUGCCUCACUUUACUUGAUCGCACCGAGUUAGGCUGCUGUGUGAAUGCAUGGAAAAGAAACAACCCACGCCCUCCGUGCACCUGGGCGAAAAUGGAAGUGCUCGCAUUGAUGUUAAUUAUAAAAUUGAGUGAUUUCAUAAUUUGGCCUGCUUUGUGAAUAUUAAUUACAUUUCUUCUGAGAGUUUCAGUUCCAGGAGUGCAUUACUCAUGUUAUGGGACGUGUGGGGUCACAUCCUGAUUAGACGAAAAUAUAAAUUGGAUUGGGUUGCUCAACAAGGAGAGUCGCCGAACGGGCUCAAAUAUUCAGACCCUUUCAUAUCACCUAUGGCACCCUUUGUAGAGGAUGUCAAAUUGCAAACCAACUGCGGUUUCUCUGUGAAAGCAGGUUUGCUGCAGUUGACACGCAUAAACCUUUGAUAGGUCCACCGUCAACUGUCCACGACGAGGACCCGUGGGGAAUGCCUUCGUAGUUAUAAGUAAACAGAACCAUUUUCCAAUAAAUUGCUUCUUUGUGUUACUCCAAGGAAUUCUCAAAUGUCAACUUUCUCCAACUAACGGUUGCGAAUGUACCUGCGUAAUAACUUUAUUUCCUCGUUUCUAAAGUCAUUUUUAUGAAACAAAAUUGCAGCCCACUUGUUAUUGUUGAUUGUACAUGUACAGGAUGCAGGCUGUUUUGUACAA